CGAUGAAUGCCGGCUGUCCGGCCCGACUGGGGGCUGGGUGGCGAAGCGAAAGCGAUAAGCAUUCCACCUGGGGGGUACGCCGGCAACGGUGAAACUCAAAGGAAUUGACGGGGGCCCGCACAAGCGGAGGAACAUGUGGUUUAAUUCGAUGAUACGCGAGGAACCUUACCCGGGCUCAAACGGGAGAUGACGCAGGGAGAGACCCCUGUUUCUCAGGACAUCUUCCGAGGUGCUGCAUGGUUGUCGUCAGCUCGUGCCGUGAGGUGUCGGCUUAAGUGCCAUAACGAGCGCAACCCCUGCCGACAGUUGCUAACGGUUAAAGCCGAGGACUCUGUCGGGACUGCCGGCGCAAGCCGCGAGGAAGGCGGGGAUGACGUCAAAUCAGCACGGCCCUUACGUCCGGGGCGACACACGUGUUACAAUGGGUGGCACAGAGGGAAGCCAGGCGGCGACGCCGAGCGGAACCCGAAAUCCACUUCUCAGUUCGGAUCGGAGUCUGCAACCCGACUCCGUGAAGCUGGAUUCGCUAGUAAUCGCGCAUCAGCCAUG
rnacentral:rRNA from 1 species